GUGCGUAGUGACCCUGCCUGUGAAACCGAUGGUCCUGGAUUCGAAUCCCAGUAAGGGCAUUUAUUUGUGUGAUGAGCACAGAUAUUUGUUCCUGAGUCAUAGGUGUUAUCUAUGUAUAUACGUAUGUAUUUAUCUAUAUAAGAUUUAUAUAUCGUUGUCUACGUAUCCACAACACAAGCCUUAUUGAGCUUACUGUGGGACUUAGUCAAUUUGUGUAAUAAUGUCCUAU